rnacentral:rRNA from 1 species
AGCGGAGAGGCCCUUUCGGGGGUACUCGAGCGGCGAACGGGUGAGUAACACGUGAGUAAUCUGCCCUGCGCUCUGGGAUAGCCACCGGAAACGGUGAUUAAUACCGGAUAGGACCACUUCACGCAUGUGAUGGUGGUGGAAAGUUUUUUCGGCGCAGGAUGUGCUCGCGGCCUAUCAGCUUGUUGGUGAGGUAACGGCUCACCAAGGCUUUGACGGGUAACCGGCCUGAGAGGGUGACCGGUCACACUGGGACUGAGACACGGCCCAGACUCCUACGGGAGGCAGCAGUGGGGAAUAUUGGACAAUGGGCGGAAGCCUGAUCCAGCAACGCCGCGUGAGGGAUGACGGCCUUCGGGUUGUAAACCUCUUUCAGUACCGACGAAGCGAAAGUGACGGUAGGUACAGAAGAAGGACCGGCCAACUACGUGCCAGCAGCCGCGGUAAUACGUAGGGUCCGAGCGUUGUCCGGAAUUAUUGGGCGUAAAGGGCUCGUAGGCGGUUUGUCGCGUCGGGAGUGAAAACACCGGGCUUAACUCGGUGCUUGCUUUCGAUACGGGCAGACUAGAGGUAUGCAGGGGAGAAUGGAAUUCCUGGUGUAGCGGUGAAAUGCGCAGAUAUCAGGAGGAACACCGGUGGCGAAGGCGGUUCUCUGGGCAUUACCUGACGCUGAGGAGCGAAAGUGUGGGGAGCGAACAGGAUUAGAUACCCUGGUAGUCCACACCGUAAACGUUGGGCGCUAGGUGUGGGGCCUAUUCCAUGGAUUCCGUGCCGUAGCUAACGCAUUAAGCGCCCCGCCU